GGCAGGGCCGCCUGAGGUCGCGAUCGCCGCCCCACGACUCGCUUCCCCGCAGCCUGCACCGGCUCCGCGCCAGCCGCUCGGCUCUAGCUUGGUCUCCGUGAAAAGCACAGCUCUAUUUUGAUACCUUAACCCCGUUUUGUCCAUCUGGCGCACCCUUCUGCCUCCUCUGCUUAUCCAGGACAAGCAGACGAGGGAGGCCUCCCCCGGCCUGGGGUUAGAACCGUCCCACCCAGCGGGACACCUGCGACGCCUUCGAGGGACCGCGAGCUCGCCGCAAGCCGCAGCUGCUGCACUCUGAGCAACGGACUUUGUCAAGCCUUCUUCUGACAGACGCUGACGGUCCUAAAAUACCUGAAAGGAAAGCGGAACCAGAACGGCGAAGUAAUGGCCCGAAGCUGACCUCUCCCAUUCCUCUGGCGGUGACACUAAAGCAAUGGGAGGCACUGCGGCAACCAACAGGAAAAUUAGCUUCACUGGGGUCUCACUAUGCAGUUCAGGCUGGCCUUGAGCUCAC